UUUAUCGAAAUUCAAGGUUCGAGAACAAUUACUUAAUGAGGCGUAUAGUAAAUUCCUCCAGCUUAUCUCAGCUUCCUCCAUUUCGUAGAUUUCAAUUGUUUAUUGUUUUAAAAAUGAGUAUUGGUGUUAUUUUGAAUUGUGUGCGGAUUUAAAAAGCAAUUUCACAUAGAAUAUGGAACGCUAUAAAGUCUAUUUCGUUUCGAGUGCUAUAUUAUGUUCAAUUUGGCAGCAGUACGUUUCAGCUUCAAGUUCAUCGGGAGACUUUUUCACCGAGUUAAAGUACGCAAGUCCAUGCCCUGCGAACGAGUCAGGGAAGAAUUUAAUUCAAUAUAAUUUGAAAUCAGUUCGAAAUGCCAAUGGUGGAAAAUACCUGAGUGGAAAUAUCACCUACCUUAUACCAUUUGACGAUAGCAUAGAGGUAGAUAACAUUUUUCAAUAUGCUGUAGAAAUAAUAGAACCAAAUAUGUAUGUACUAAUGUGUAUUUUUGUUUAGGGAGUGUUUCAGUUAGAAAAAUUCUCCCCAUCUACUGGCAGAUUCACAGCGAACUAUUUUCGAAUCACUUUGAAUCGUAUUUGUUCAGAUACCUAUCGCUACAUGGGAGAGCUUUGGAAAACUUUCCAGCGCAUUAAUAACAUGCCAAUUGGUUGCCCAAUUCCUCGAGGAACAUAUUUCGUGAAUGAAUACGAUGUUAAUUUGUUAUUUGAUCAGAAAGGAGGAGCUAUGGCUACAUUACCGAAAUCUUUUUUUUAUGGAAAAUAUAAACUGAACAUGAUUUUUGAAAAAAAUAAAGAACUUAUUGGGUGUCAUGUGGAGAUCGUUGAAUGUAAACCACGAGCUUGGCAAAAACACAACAAGGAAAACUGAAUUUUUGUAGCUCAAUUUGUGGUAGGAUUUCAUUUAAAUUUGUGUAGAAAAUUAUAUCGAUGUAUUAAUUUAAUAAUUAUACAUACAUAGGUAUGUAUCUUCAUUACUCAAUAAAAUUGUUCCA